UAGACUCCCACAUCAGGGACCCUGGAUUCAA
rnacentral:piRNA from 1 species